UACGUAGGGGGCUAGCGUUGUCCGGAUUUAUUGGGCGUAAAGAGCGUGUAGGCGGCCAGGUAGGUCUGGUGUGAAAACUCGAGGCUUAACCUCGAGAUGUCAUCGGAAACCAUCUGGCUAGAGUCCGGAAGAGGGAGAGUGGAAUUCCUGGUGUAGCGGUGAAAUGCGCAGAUAUCAGGAAGAACACCAAUGGCGAAAGCAGCUCUCUGGGACGGUACUGACGCUGAGACGCGAAAGCGUGGGGAGCAAACAGG
rnacentral:rRNA from 1 species